rnacentral:lncRNA from 1 species
UAUUCAUUGCUAACUCUCUAGUUUGAUUUCUCAACUGUAAUCAAAAGUUGUAGGUUUCUUGUUUCCUCACAAUUGAUUAAUCUAACAUUUUUGGUUAAAAAUUAGUUGAGCAACAAAUUGCAGAUACAAAUCUUGAUGUGAUGGUCUUAUAUAGCAAAGAAGAUUGUACCGAAACAGAAUAGAUCUUCUAUCCUAAACCAGAUAAGGUUAGAGCAAAAGGUUUCUUAGUUUAUUUGAGUUGAAUGUGUAUUUUGUAGGCUAUGGUCGCUAUUAGCUCAUUUAACAACAGUCUUCAUGAUCAUUCAAAUGAUCGUGACCAUAGUAGUUGAAUUAGUGUCCGAUAAAUGAUGCAAUGUAAUAUCUUAUAAAUCUCAUUUUAUCUUCUGUUUUAACAGUUCAGGAUUUGAGAACUUUGUGCUUACUUGCAACCAGUCUGGACAAAGGACCUCAUAAAUUCUCUGGCACCAUGAAGUAACAAAUUUCUCUUUUCUAUGUAUGUUCCAUCCCAAAAACUCUUUGUACAAAUAUUAUUCUCAGAUGUGUUAAUUAGCUUAUAGUUCUUUGACAAAUUAGAUACAUGGUUACAUGAUAAACAUGUGUUCAUUUGCAGAAGCUCACUCACAAGUCUCUAGCAUGACUAGUUGUUGACUGACAAAGAAGACAACUACAUAAGGUAUUACUUCAUCACUGAUGAGCGUUGAGAUCACUAAUCUAUUGAUGAAUCUAACGUUUUUUUUUAAUGUAAAAACUAGCUGAGCAACAAAUUGCAGGUACCAAACUUGAUGUGCUGGUCCUAGCAAAGGAAGUUGUACCACUUGUUGUCUUAGAUCAGAUAAGCUAUUGCCAUCUUAACGCAUCUUGAAUAAAAUAGACAAAGUUUUCUUAGUUUAUUUGAGUUGCGUAAAUAUUUGGGCAUGUGCAUUGGUUAUGGGAGUCAUCAUUAGAUUCUGCUAGCCAGUUCAUUUCACAGCAGUCUUCAUACUCACAAACUCAGAUUUUACUCGAACGAUUGUGACCAUACAGAGGUAUGCUCUUGAUUUUACUUACAGUUUGUAAAUUUUUUUUUACUUACACUUGGAAGUUUAACAUAUUACUUUCUUUUUGUUUCUCAUAUAUGGUUGUUUCAAGCACUGCUCAUUGCAGAUAAAAUCAGGGCAUGCUCUUUCUCAAAAGCACUGCAGUCCUUCUGAAGACAAUUAAAGCUAAAGUGCCAUCCUUCUGUUUCUAGAUGGUAUGUGGCUUAUUACAGUUUGUUGUUAAAUUUUUCUCUUCCAGUUUGAAUUUACAUUAUCAUAUACAGAUGUGGAUUAAGAAUUGUGGAAAGCUAUUCUUAGGAUGAGAACUGUGAAGCUUGAGCUGUGGUAGUAGCACCCAUUAUAAAUCAUUCUUUAUGCUAAGAAAUCUUCUAAUUUUUUUUUUUUAAUAUUGAUAACGAAUACUAAUCUUCACGAUUCUGAGUUAAGUGGUGUAAUGUUUGCAUUGGUGCUCCAAGAAGAUCUGUACUUAUAUUUUGUUGUUGAAGAUGUCUAGAGAGAAUUCACAAGAAUUACUUAAAUUUUUGGUCCACCCAUUUAUAGUCAGCAACCUUGACGGUAUUUUGUGUGUAACUGGUAAGGUAACUUAGUUAUUUUUAUCAGACAUUUGAGCAUUAUUAUUUCUACGUAAGGCAUAGCAAUCAUCCACAACUAAUCAUGUAUGUUUUCAUUGACUUUAUUUCUUUAGGUGACAGCAGAUACUAUAUCUAGUGAUGUAUUGAUCCUGGCCAAAAAGGUUGCACUAAAACUGAGUAAAGCCUAUUCGCAAUGCCCGCUCAGUUACUCACAAAGUUAUAGUAUUGGUUCAG